rnacentral:lncRNA from 1 species
GGUUCAAAAGGUCAGUCUGAAGUUUCUAAACAUUGAUUUGGUUUCAGUUUUAAAAGCAAUACAACACUAGACAGAAAGGAGAGUAAGGCUUGGAAAUGGAGGAAGAAGCAGAACAGGACAAAAAUGUAUGGAAAAGAAGUGUUUGGGCCGGAAGAGACAGAACUGCAGCUGGUGAUGAAGCAUUUGCCCUACGUGUACCUUGAGUACUAAUGCAAGUCUUCUCCUCCACUUGCUAAUGAGAUGCCGGACUGGAGGAGAACGCUCUUUUGUGAUGAUGAAUCAGUCAGCUUUGCUGUUCAGCUGUGCUUUCUCACCACUCUGCAGCAGGAAACAUCUCUGAGCACUGGGAAACUGGUUAGACCCACACUGACUUUGCA